rnacentral:rRNA from 1 species
GCCGAAAAGCUAGCCCGCACCCCCAAAAACAACAAAUCACUAUUAAUAACCCCUAAUAAAUUAACCCCUUAACCAACAAACCAUUUUACCCCCCUAGUAGAGGCGAUAGAAAAGGAGCCACGGCGCUAUAGAGAAAGUACCGCAAGGGAAAGCUGAAAGAGAAAUGAAAUAGCCCAGUUAAGCAUAAGAAAGCAGAGAUUCUAGCUCG